CCGAGCCGCGCCCUCCUCCGCGCAGCGCCGGCCGAGUGGCUGUCCCCAGGCUGGGGCGGCGGCGGCGGCGGCGCGGCUGUGCAGUCCUGGGCGAGCGCCCAGUGCCGCGAUCGGUCGUUGUGAGAAUUCAGGGGUGAGGCUAUCACUGGAAUCAGAGAUGGGCCCAGCAGAUGUGGUACAGGAACAGUUGCUGUGUUUGGUCAGUUCUUUCCUGGGAAUUUGGAACCAAAGAAUUGUAGGCUUCCUGUUGGAGGGACCUUGAACAGCACCAAAAAAAAAGAAAAGAAAAAAGAAUGCUGUCUGUUUCCCAUUCCCACUGCACAAAUGUGAAAUAACCAAAGGUAUGAAACUGUUCCACUUGUGAGGACAAGGUGACUCGUCUUUACCUUGGAGUCAGAGACCUCAUCACACACUCCACCUACUGAUGUCCUGAUCUCAGACUUCCCAGCUCCCAUGACUGUUUCUUCAACUUUGAAGGCGCCCAACAUGUCUCAACUCAGAUUUCUUCUGGGAUUAAACAUCCAAUUCCUCUGAUGAUAAUUUCUAGACUUCUCCAAUGGUCUUCUGAGAAUGCUUCAAUUUGUCAAUAAACAUAGCAUAUGAUGACAGUC